GAUGAACGCUGGCGGCGUGCCUAAUACAUGCAAGUCGAGCGAACAGACGAGGAGCUUGCUCCUUUGACGUUAGCGGCGGACGGGUGAGUAACACGUGGAUACCCUACCUAUAAGACUGGGAUAACUUCGGGAAACCGGAGCUAACACCGGAUAACAUGUUGAACCGCAUGGUUCAACAGUGCAAGACGUUCUUGCUGUCACUUAUAGAUGGAUCCGCGCCGCAUUAGCUAGUUGGUACGGUAACGGCUUACCAAGGCAACGAUGCGUAGCCGACCUGAGAGGGUGAUCGGCCACACUGGAACUGAGACACGGUCCAGACUCCUACGGGAGGCAGCAGUAGGGAAUCUUCCGCAAUGGGCGAAAGCCUGACGGAGCAACGCCGCGUGAGUGAAGAAGGUCUUCGGAUCGUAAAACUCUGUUAUUAGGGAAGAACAAAUGUGUAAGUAACUAUGCACGUCUUGACGGUACCUAAUCAGAAAGCCACGGCUAACUACGUG
rnacentral:rRNA from 1 species